UCGAAUCUCUUUUCCAAUACUCGGAAAAAAACAAAUCUUACAACCUAGUACGUUUUUUUGAAAGAAAAUUUUCAUUAAUUCAAACCCAAAUCAGUAGCUAUUGAAUACAAAUUAUAAACAAGCUAUUGAUAAAUACUACCAUUGGCUUACAUAUUGAUCUCAUUCCAUUGCAACACCUGUCUAAGAGAUAAAGCCUCAAACAUAGUUGCAUCCAAUUAAACAGAAUGAUGCCAUGGAACAUCCCUCUUAGCAAAGCGACCGGAAUCAAACUUGCCUAACCAAGUGUAAUCCCUUUCGGGUUGUAGAGCGUAAUUGCACAUAGAUAUGUGAAUAAAAGACUGGUGGUAAGAGCUGGUAUUAUUACUGGAUCCUUACUUAUGGCCUUGAUCAUGGUUGUGAUGGUAAGAUGAUGUUGGGAGAUGAAAAAGCGAAGGUUGAGGAAGAUGGAGAAGAGAAGGCUGAGAGGAAAAUUAUGAGGUUUUUCAGUCUUUUUUUACAUACUACACUUAUGUUUAAGGUCAAUUUUAUUAUAUUUAAAAGCUUUCUCUUGUAUUUGACUGUGCUAUUGUCUUUUGACCCGUGGCUAAACACAAUAAAAAUGAACUGAAUGACG
rnacentral:lncRNA from 1 species